UCCCUUAGAUGUUCUGGGCCGCACGCGUGCUACACUGAGUGGAUCAGCGGGUCAGGUUGCGCGAAAGCGUUUCCUAAUCUUUAAAUCCGCUCGUGAUGGGGAUUGACGGUUGCAAUUUUCUGUCAUGAACGAGGAAUACCUUGUAAGCGCGGGUCAUCAUCCCGCGCUGAAUACGUCCCUGCCCUUUGUACACACCGCCCGUCGCUCCUACCGAUUGAGUGGUCCGGUGAGGCUUUGGGAUCUGAGCGGAAAGAGCGUUUCGCUGUUUCUGCUCGGAAAACUCAGCCGAACCUUAUCAUUUAGAGGAAGGAGAAGUCGUAACA
rnacentral:rRNA from 1 species